CUUGCAGUAGCACCUUAGAGACCAACUAAGUUUUUAUUGGUAUGAGCUUUUGUGUGCAUGCAAGGUAUCUGAAGAAGAAGAAGCUCACACGAAAGCUCAUAGCAAUAACAAAUUUAGUUGGUCUCUAAGGUGCUACUGGAAG